rnacentral:rRNA from 1 species
UACGUAGGGUGCAAGCGUUGUCCGGAAUUAUUGGGCGUAAAGAGCUCGUAGGCGGUCUGUUGCGUCGGCUGUGAAAACCUGGGGCUCAACCCCGGGCCUGCAGCCGAUACGGCAGACUAGAAUUCGGCAGGGGAGACUGGAAUUCCUGGUGUAGCGGUGAAAUGCGCAGAUAUCAGGAGGAACACCGGUGGCGAAGGCGGGUCUCUGGGCCGAUAUUGACGCUGAGGAGCGAAAGCGUGGGGAGCGAACAGG